UACUCGCAAGAGAGGACUCUGUGUGGACUGCUCCGGAUAACGGAGAGGAAGGKGGGGAUGACGUCMAGUCCGCAYGGCCUUUAUGUCCMGGGCUACACACGUGUUACAAUGCARGGCACAAACCGUUGCCAACCCGCGAGGGGGARCUAAUCRGAAAAAACUCUGCUCAGUUCSGAUUGCAGUCUGCAACUCGACUGCAUG
rnacentral:rRNA from 1 species